rnacentral:rRNA from 1 species
AAUGAACGCUGGUGGCAGGCCUAACACAUGCAAGUCGAACGGAUCCUUCGGGAUUAGUGGCGGACGGGUGAGUAACGCGUGGGAACAUACCCAAAGGUACGGAAUAGCCUCGGGAAACUGGGAGUAAUACCGUAUGUGCUCGAAAGAGGAAAGAUUUAUCGCCUUUGGAUUGGCCCGCGUUGGAUUAGGUAGUUGGUGGGGUAAUGGCCUACCAAGCCGACGAUCCAUAGCUGGUUUGAGAGGAUGAUCAGCCACACUGGGACUGAGACACGGCCCAGACUCCUACGGGAGGCAGCAGUGGGGAAUCUUAGACAAUGGGGGAAACCCUGAUCUAGCCAUGCCGCGUGAUCGAUGAAGGCCUUAGGGAUGUAAAGAUCUUUCAGGUGGGAAGAUAAUGACUGUACCACCAGAAGAAGCCCCGGCUAACUCCGUGCCAGCAGCCGCCGUAA